rnacentral:lncRNA from 1 species
ACGGCUUUGGCGGGCCGAGGAAGGACCUGGUGUUUUGAUGACCGCUGUCCUGUCUAGCAGAUACUUGCACGGUUUACAGAAAUUCGGUCCCUGGGUCGUGUCAGGAAACUGGAAAAAAGGUCAUAAGCAUGAAGCGCAGUUCAGUUUCCAGCGGUGGUGCUGGCCGCCUCUCCAUGCAGGAGUUAAGAUCCCAGGAUGUAAAUAAACAAGGCCUCUAUACCCCUCAAACCAAAGAGAAACCAACCUUUGGAAAGUUGAGUAUAAACAAACCGACAUCUGAAAGAAAAGUCUCGCUAUUUGGCAAAAGAUGGAGUCUCGCUCUGUCGCCCAGGCUGGAAUGCAGUGGCGCGAUCUCAGCUCACUGCAACCUCUGCCUCGCCAGUUCAAGCAAUUCUCCUGCCUCAGCCUCCCGAGUAGCUGGGAUUACAGAACUAGUGGACAUGGAUCCCGGAAUAGUCAACUUGGUAUAUUUUCCAGUUCUGAGAAAAUCAAGGACCCGAGACCACUUAAUGACAAAGCAUUCAUUCAGCAGUGUAUUCGACAACUCUGUGAG